rnacentral:rRNA from 1 species
UACGGGGGGGGCAAGCGUUGUUCGGAAUUACUGGGCGUAAAGGGCGCGUAGGCGGUUUGCUAAGUUGAAUGUGAAAACUCUGGGCUUAACCCAGAGCCUGCAUUCAAUACUGGCAGGCUAGAGUUCUGGAGGGGAUAGCGGAAUUCCUGGUGUAGCGGUGAAAUUCGUAGAUAUUCGGAGGAACACCAGUGGCGAAGGCGGCUCACUGGCUCGGUACUGACGCUGAGGUGCGAAAGCGUGGGGAGCAAACAGG